rnacentral:rRNA from 1 species
GUUAAGUUGCAGGGUAUAGACCCGAAACCCGGUGAUCUAGCCAUGGGCAGGUUGAAGGUUGGGUAACACUAACUGGAGGACCGAACCGACUAAUGUUGAAAAAUUAGCGGAUGACCUGUGGCUGGGGGUGAAAGGCCAAUCAAACCGGGAGAUAGCUGGUUCUCCCCGAAAGCUAUUUAGGUAGCGCCUCGUGAAUUCAUCUCCGGGGGUAGAGCACUGUUUCGGCUAGGGGGCCAUCCCGGCUUACCAACCCGAUGCAAACUGCGAAUACCGGAGAAUGUUAUCACGGGAGACACACGGCGGGUGCUAACGUCCGUCGUGAAGAGGGAAACAACCCAGACCGCCAGCUAAGGUCCCAAAGUCAUGGUUAAGUGGGAAACGAUGUGGGAAGGCCCAGACAGCCAGGAUGUUGGCUUAGAAGCAGCCAUCAUUUAAAGAAAGCGUAAUAGCUCACUGGUCGAGUCGGCCUGCGCGGAAGAUGUAACGGGGCUAAACCAUGCACCGAAGCUGCGGCAGCGAACGUAUCACCCAAGACAACUUUACGGAGUUGACGAUUGACGGAGCGAAGCGACGUCAAAGCGUUCAUUAAAGUCGAGUUGGCUUAGGGAUACGUUCGUUGGGUAGGGGAGCGUUCUGUAAGCCUGUGAAGGUGUGUCGUGAGGCAUGCUGGAGGUAUCAGAAGUGCGAAUGCUGACAUAAGUAACGAUAAAGCGGGUGAAAAGCCCGCUCGCCGGAAGACCAAGGGUUCCUGUCCAACGUUAAUCGGGGCAGGGUGAGUCGACCCCUAAGGCGAGGCCGAAAGGCGUAGUCGAUGGGAAACGGGUUAAUAUUCCCGUACUUGGUGUUACUGCGAAGGGGGGACGGAGAAGGCUAUGUUGGCCGGGCGACGGUUGUCCCGGUUUAAGCGUGUAGGUGUGUGUUCCAGGUAAAUCCGGUU